rnacentral:misc_RNA from 1 species
GAUGAAGAACGCAGCGAAAUGCGAUAAGUAAUGUGAAUUUCAGAAUUCCGUGAAUCAUCGAAUCUUUGAACGCACAUUGCGCCCCCUGGCAUUCCGGGGGGCAUGCCUGUCCGAGCGUCAUUUCUGCCCUCCAGCCCGGCUGGGUGUUGGGCGCUGUCCCCCCGGGGACACGCCCCAAAGGCAGUGGCGGCGCCGCGUCGGGUCCUCGAGCGUAUGGGGCUUUGUCACCCGCUCGGGACGGACUCGUCGGCGCUGGUCUUCCUCCAGGCGACCCUUCGGGGCUCGUCUUCCUUCGGUUGACCUCGGAUCAGGUAGGGUUACCCGCUGAACUUAAGCAUAUCAAUAAGCGGAGGA